rnacentral:rRNA from 1 species
ACGGCUCAGUAACACGUCGGUAACCUACCCUCGGGAGGGGGAUAACCCCGGGAAACUGGGGCUAAUUCCCCAUAGGCCUGAGGUACUGGAAGGUCCUCAGGCCGAAAGGGACUUAUGUCCGCCCGAGGAUGGGCCGGCGGCCGAUUAGGUAGUUGGUGGGGUAAUGGCCCACCAAGCCGAAGAUCGGUACGGGCUGUGAGAGCAGGAGCCCGGAGAUGGACACUGAGACACGGGUCCAGGCCCUACGGGGCGCAGCAGGCGCGAAACCUCCGCAAUGCGGGAAACCGCGACGGGGGGACCCCGAGUGCCGUGGCAACGCCACGGCUUUUCCGGAGUGUAAAAAGCUCCGGGAAUAAGGGCUGGGCAAGGCCGGUGGCAGCCGCCGCGGUAAUACCGGCGGCCCGAGUGGUGGCCGCUAUUAUUGGGCCUAAAGUGUCCGUAGCCGGGCCCGUAAGUCCCUGGCGAAAUCCCACGGCUCAACCGUGGGGCUUGCUGGGGAUACUGCGGGUCUUGGGACCGGGAGAGGCGGGGGGUACCCCUGGGGUAGGGGUGAAAUCCUAUAAUCCCAGGGGGACCGCCAGUGGCGAAGGCGCCCCGCUGGAACGGGUCCGACGGUGAGGGACGAAGGCCAGGGGAGCAAACCGGAUUAGAUACCCGGGUAGUCCUGGCUGUAAAGGAUGCGGGCUAGGUGUCGGGUGAGCCCCGAGCUCGCCCGGUGCCGUAGGGAAGCCGUUAAGCCCGCCGCCUGGGGAGUACGGCCGCAAGGCUGAAACUUAAAGGAAUUGGCGGGGGAG